rnacentral:rRNA from 1 species
UGGGGAAUAUUGCACAAUGGGCGCAAGCCUGAUGCAGCCAUGCCGCGUGUGUGAAGAAGGCCUUCGGGUUGUAAAGCACUUUCAGCGAGGAGGAAGGUGGUGAACUUAAUAUGUUCAUCAAUUGACGUUACUCGCAGAAGAAGCACCGGCUAACUCCGUGCCAGCAGCCGCGGUAAUACGGAGGGUGCAAGCGUUAAUCGGAAUUACUGGGCGUAAAGCGCACGCAGGCGGUUUGUUAAGUCAGAUGUGAAAUCCCCGGGCUCAACCUGGGAACUGCAUUUGAAACUGGCAAGCUAGAGUCUCGUAGAGGGGGGUAGAAUUCCAGGUGUAGCGGUGAAAUGCGUAGAGAUCUGGAGGAAUACCGGUGGCGAAGGCGGCCCCCUGGACGAAGACUGACGCUCAGGUGCGAAAGCGUGGGGAGCAAACAGGAUUAGAUACCCCUGGCAGUCCACGCUGUAAAACGAUGUCGAUUUGGAGGUUGUGCCCUUGAGGCGUGGCUUCCGGAGCUAACGCGUUAAAUCGACCGCCUGGGGAGUACGGCC